rnacentral:lncRNA from 1 species
GGGACCCGGCGGUGGUAGCACCCACACCCAGUGGGGCCCCCCUGGAGUGGACUCCUCUCCUGGUCCCUUCGACCAUGAACUGCCAGGAGGUACGGAGGUGCCGCUGCGUCGGCCUGAUGAGGUGGGACCUACCCUGGAGUCUGUGUCGGGGGAAAAGAGGAAGAGGGACACGUUGGUUGCGGGAGGCCUGGAGGUGACUGGAGGUGUGGACCGGGACAUGUUUGCCGGGUGUGCAGAGGGAGCGACGUGAUGGUGGAGGGCUAAUGCUUCAGGAUGGAUACAAGCAGUAUGUUAUACACAUAAAACAUCAAGGCGCGGGGAGCUGCACUGCAAGUUGAGAUUUCUGGGAUAGGACCGUGAUGUAUGCGCAAGAGAAAGAACAGUCCAGGGACCGCGGAGAGCCUUGGUUGCCAGCUGCGUGGAGCUAUCCUUGGAUUACAAGAGUUUCGUAAUGAAAAGAUGAGUGUUAUGUGAGGGUGGGUUUUGGUAUGCGUUGCGGUCUGUGUGCUGUGGGUGCGCUGUGUCGGCGGCGCUUGUCAACGCCUACCGGUAUCGUAGGGGACGUUAUACAACGUACUUGACACUCCCGCUUUAACAAAAAUGCAUUUCCUUUUUUCCAUGGCUGUGGGCUGUAAGCGACAGUAAAGGUACAGUACAGCAGACUGCCGCUGUGAAAUGAAACGACGCGUAGGUAUGUCAAAGCCGGGAAACGAGCCGUUGUUGGGGGGAUUUCG